rnacentral:misc_RNA from 1 species
AACGCACAUUGCACUCCUUGGUAUUCCGAGGAGUAUGCCUGUUUCAGUAUCAUGAGCACCCUCACACCUAACCUUUGUGUUUUGGCGUGGAAUUGGAAUGCGCCGACUUUUUCACAGGUUGGCCCUUCUAAAAUGUAGUUCUUGGCUGUCACCUAACACAGCAGUUUGGCCUAAUAGUUUUGGCAUUUCUUGUCAAAUCUUUGGCUAACAUUUGCUCCAGGAGUCAGUCUUGAUAAUACAGAAAAACUCUUUCAAAAUUUGAUCUGAAAUCAGGUAGGGCUACCCGCUGAACUUAA